AGCGUACACGGUGGAUGCCCUGGCAGUCAGAGGCGAUGAAGGACGUGCUAAUCUGCGAAAAGCGUCGGUAAGGUGAUAUGAACCGUUAUAACCGGCGAUGUCCGAAUGGGGAAACCCAGUGUGAUUCGUCACACUAUCGUUAACUGAAUACAUAGGUUAACGAGGCGAACCGGGGGAACUGAAACAUCUAAGUACCCCGAGGAAAAGAAAUCAACCGAGAUUCCCCCAGUAGCGGCGAGCGAACGGGGAGCAGCCCAGAGUCUGAAUCAGCUUGUGUGUUAGUGGAACGGUCUGGAAAGUCCGACGGUACAGGGUGAUAGUCCCGUACACCAAAAUGCACAGGUUGUGAACUCGAAGAGUAGGGCGGGACACGUGGUAUCCUGUCUGAAUAUGGGGGGACCAUCCUCCAAGGCUAAAUACUCCUGACUGACCGAUAGUGAACCAGUACCGUGAGGGAAAGGCGAAAAGAACCCCGGCGAGGGGAGUGAAAAAGAACCUGAAACCGUGUACGUACAAGCAGUGGGAGCACCUUCGGGUGUGACUGCGUACCUUUUGUAUAAUGGGUCAGCGACUUAUAUUCUGUAGCAAGGUUAACCGUAUAGGGGAGCCGCAGGGAAACCGAGUCUUAACUGGGCGUUAAGUUGCAGGGUAUAGACCCGAAACCCGGUGAUCUAGCCAUGGGCAGGUUGAAGGUUGGGUAACACUAACUGGAGGACCGAACCGACUAAUGUUGAAAAAUUAGCGGAUGACUUGUGGCUGGGGGUGAAAGGCCAAUCAAACCGGGAGAUAGCUGGUUCUCCCCGAAAGCUAUUUAGGUAGCGCCUCGUGAAUUCAUCUUCGGGGGUAGAGCACUGUUUCGGCUAGGGGGUCAUCCCGACUUACCAACCCGAUGCAAACUACGAAUACCGAAGAAUGUUAUCACGGGAGACACACGGCGGGUGCUAACGUCCGUCGUGAAGAGGGAAACAACCCAGACCGCCAGCUAAGGUCCCAAAGUCAUGGUUAAGUGGGAAACGAUGUGGGAAGGCACAGACAGCCAGGAUGUUGGCUUAGAAGCAGCCAUCAUUUAAAGAAAGCGUAAUAGCUCACUGGUCGAGUCGGCCUGCGCGGAAGAUGUAACGGGGCUAAACCAUGCACCGAAGCUGCGGCAGCGACACUAUGUGUUGUUGGGUAGGGGAGCGUUCUGUAAGCCUGCGAAGGUGACCUGUGAGGGUUGCUGGAGGUAUCAGAAGUGCGAAUGCUGACAUAAGUAACGAUAAAGCGGGUGAAAAGCCCGCUCGCCGGAAGACCAAGGGUUCCUGUCCAACGUUAAUCGGGGCAGGGUGAGUCGACCCCUAAGGCGAGGCCGAAAGGCGUAGUCGAUGGGAAACAGGUUAAUAUUCCUGUACUUGGUGUUACUGCGAAGGGGGGACGGAGAAGGCUAUGUUAGCCGGGCGACGGUUGUCCCGGUUUAAGCAUGUAGGCUGAUUGUCCAGGCAAAUCCGGAUAAUCAAGGCUGAGGUGUGAUGACGAGGCACUACGGUGCUGAAGUAACAAAUGCCCUGCUUCCAGGAAAAGCCUCUAAGCAUCAGGUAACAUUAAAUCGUACCCCAAACCGACACAGGUGGUCAGGUAGAGAAUACCAAGGCGCUUGAGAGAACUCGGGUGAAGGAACUAGGCAAAAUGGUGCCGUAACUUCGGGAGAAGGCACGCUGGUGUGUAGGUGAAGCCCCUGCGGGUGGAGCUGAGACCAGUCGAAGAUACCAGCUGGCUGCAACUGUUUAUUAAAAACACAGCACUGUGCAAACACGAAAGUGGACGUAUACGGUGUGACGCCUGCCCGGUGCCGGAAGGUUAAUUGAUGGGGUUAUCCGUAAGGAGAAGCUCUUGAUCGAAGCCCCGGUAAACGGCGGCCGUAACUAUAACGGUCCUAAGGUAGCGAAAUUCCUUGUCGGGUAAGUUCCGACCUGCACGAAUGGCGUAAUGAUGGCCAGGCUGUCUCCACCCGAGACUCAGUGAAAUUGAACUCGCUGUGAAGAUGCAGUGUACCCGCGGCAAGACGGAAAGACCCCGUGAACCUUUACUAUAGCUUGACACUGAACAUUGAGCCUUGAUGUGUAGGAUAGGUGGGAGGCUUUGAAGCGUGGACGCCAGUCUGCGUGGAGCCAACCUUGAAAUACCACCCUUUAAUGUUUGAUGUUCUAACGUUGGCCCCUUACCGGGGUUGCGGACAGUGUCUGGUGGGUAGUUUGACUGGGGCGGUCUCCUCCCAAAGCGUAACGGAGGAGCACGAAGGUUAGCUAAUCCUGGUCGGACAUCAGGAGGUUAGUGCAAUGGCAUAAGCUAGCUUGACUGCGAGCGUGACGGCGCGAGCAGGUGCGAAAGCAGGUCAUAGUGAUCCGGUGGUUCUGAAUGGAAGGGCCAUCGCUCAACGGAUAAAAGGUACUCCGGGGAUAACAGGCUGAUACCGCCCAAGAGUUCAUAUCGACGGCGGUGUUUGGCACCUCGAUGUCGGCUCAUCACAUCCUGGGGCUGAAGUAGGUCCCAAGGGUAUGGCUGUUCGCCAUUUAAAGUGGUACGCGAGCUGGGUUUAGAACGUCGUGAGACAGUUCGGUCCCUAUCUGCCGUGGGCGCUGGAGAAUUGAGGGGGGCUGCUCCUAGUACGAGAGGACCGGAGUGGACGCAUCACUGGUGUUCGGGUUGUCAUGCCAAUGGCACUGCCCGGUAGCUAAAUGCGGAAGAGAUAAGUGCUGAAAGCAUCUAAGCACGAAACUUGCCCCGAGAUGAGUUCU
rnacentral:rRNA from 1 species